rnacentral:rRNA from 1 species
AUUGAACGCUGGCGGCAGGCCUAACACAUGCAAGUCGAGCGGAUGAAGGGAGCUUGCUCCUGGAUUCAGCGGCGGACGGGUGUGUAAUGCCCAGGAAUCUGCCUGGUAGUGGGGGAUAACGUCCGGAAACGGGCGCUCAUACCGCCUACGUCCAGAGGGAGAAAGUGGGGGAUCUUCGGACCUCACGCUAUCAGAUGAGCCUAGGUCGGAUUAGCUAGUUGGUGGGGUAAAGGCCUACCAAGGCUACGCACCGUAACUGGACUGAGAGGAGGAUCAGUCACACUGGAACUGAGACACGGUCCCGACACCAACAGGAGGAAGAAGAAGGGAAUGUUGGAAAUUGGGCGAAGGCCUGAUCCAGCCAUGCCGCGUGUCUGAAGAAGGUCUUCGGAUUGUAAAGCACUUUAAGUUGGGAGACAGAGCAGUAAGUUAAUACCGUGCUAUUUUGACGGUACCAAGAGAAUAAGCAACGGCUAACUUCGUG